rnacentral:lncRNA from 1 species
ACGACAGCGCCGCAAAGCGAAGACGGCGCAGGCUUCGUAGAGACGGCUUCACUCAGCUUCUCGUCCUUGCUGAGCUGUGUUUGGGACCGGGUUAGGGAGGCGGCUGGGGAAGCGCUGAGAAAGCGAGAGAAAGCCGGAAAGUGAAAGGAGCCGAAGAAUUGGAAAGGGAAAGAAAGGGGGUUGAGAGAAGUGUGUCGUCCUGGCUGUUCCGGCAGGAAGGGGUUACAGGCGGCUGAUGUAGUGAGCCACGCGUGUCCCAGCCAUAUCUGAGUUAUGAGUGGUUGCAGGGAAAGGAGGGAGGUGAGAGACUUGCAAUCCCCGCAUCCGAGGCUUUUCUCUUCCUUUUCUACCAAGUUGUUCGCUGCAAUGGGUAAAAGCCCUAACCCACGGAGGAGUAAACCAGUUGUGAGAUAGACACAGAGCCUGGAAGAGAAACCGAGGGUUAAGACGCGAGAUACCUGCAGAGGCAAAACUUGGCCACACGGGAAAUUGGAAAUCAAGAUUGUUCAGAAGUUUGUAAUGUGGUUUUCGUGUUUGAUAUUCGUUGCCUUAUUAAUGUGUGGAAAUAUUUAACUUGCAAGUGCAUAAUCCGCUGGUUCUGUGGUGUGGUGUGGACACAGACCGUAUAAAACUUUUGACCAUCUCAAAAACCAGAUUUAUCAAACCUUAACAACUUGUUCUGAAGGCUGUAGAGCUCUCGGCAUAUGAAGGCUCCCUCAGAACCUCUGCGCUGAGACUUGUCCAAACUCUUCCUGACGAAAAUUCAAUUAACUGUCAAGUUAAGAAAAAAAGGGAAUUUUAUUUGAGCCAAACUGAUGGUGAUAACACAGGAAGCAGCCUCAGAAAGCUUGGAGGACCUUUCUGCCUGUUAGAAGUCGAAGGCACAGGCAUAUACAUUUUUGAAACAAAGGAUCAUACAUCAAAAUGACCGACUAAUAUUUUACAUAAACUUCACCAAAGAUACAUAGUCCAGAUUAACAGGGGACUUCCCUGGUGGUGCAGUGGUUAAGAAUCCGCCUGCCAAUGCAGAGGACACAGGUUUGAUCCCUGGUCCAGGAAGAUCCCACAUGCUGCGGAGCACCUGAGCCCGUGCGCCACAACUACUGAGCCUGCGCUCUAGAGCCCGCGAGCCACAACUACUGAAGCCUAUGCGCCUAGAGCCCGUGCUCCGCCACAAGAGAAGCCACCGCAAUGAGAAGCCCGCGCACUGAGACAAAGAGUAGCCACCCCCCCACUCGCUCGCCGCAACUAGAGAAAGCCACGCGCAGCAAUGAAGACCCAACGCAGCCAAAAAUAAGUAAAUACAUUUAUUU